rnacentral:lncRNA from 1 species
CAUUCAUAUGUUCAUGGACCCAAUAUAAAGUGCUUCUCUUGAAAAGCUUCAAACGCGUCAUGCCUACGUGGCUCAUCUUCGUGGCGCUCCUGUUGCUGAACACAUAUGUUUUCUAGCAAGGUGAUAAUAAAAGUUUCUUCACCAUUUGAGCCAACACCAGAGUAGUUACCAUAAGUCAUGCCAUUAUGGGUCCAGGAAUUAUGUUUCCACUGGC